CAAAUACUCCCUCCGUCCGGAAAUACUUGUCAUCAAAAUGGAUAAAAGGAAACGUAUCUAGAUGUAUUUUAGUUUUAGAUACAUCUCUUUUUAUCCAUUUUGAUGACAAGUAUUUUCGGACAGAGGGAGUAGAAA
rfam:Triticum aestivum genome assembly, contig: Triticum_aestivum_CS42_TGACv1_scaffold_396092_5AS